AACCUGACAGUUUAUCUAUCAUUGAACAGAAUUCAGAUCAUUCACAUUUAGUUUAACAGCUGAAAACAGGGUCUUCUGGCUUUUUAUUAUUUUUCUCAUUUUUACUCCUGUCAAUAUACUAUUUGUGACAAACGCUGCUGGAGAUCCACUUGUUCAGGUCCUUCGUGUUCUGAAUACUGAACAAGACACAGAAAAGGCACUAAGGCUAUACAUCUAUGGAAGGCAGGAAAAAAAGCAUUUCUGCAGGACCAAAGCAGGCCAGGGAAGAGCUCAUAGCAUCCCUGAGGCGGAAAUGAAGGGGGUUUUUAGUAUCCAAAAUAUCUGGAUCAAUUUCCAUUUCAUGCAAUAGGCUUUGGGAUAUUUGUCCUACCAAAACUCACUUGGCCUCAUUCCAAAAUAAACUAAACUGUCCUAUCCAAAAUUUACCUGGCCUCUCUUCAGAUGUAAAGGAAGGAUUAGAAACAGUGUCUUUUGAUUGGCUGUGCACAGGUGUAUUCAGGAGUGUUGAGAAUAGCGUCUUCAGGUUGGCCUCCAAGAAGCUCCAGAUUCAGGUGAAGAAUUGAAAAUAGUACUUAUCUGCUCAGUCCACCCAUCACCCAUAAGCUGGACAUCAUUUUGAGCUCUCUGUUCUGUGCAUGUCCUCUCUUUUUAGGAAAUAUUUUGCUCAACAUUUUAGCCCUGGAUUUUUAUUACCUUUUUCACUUUCUGCCCAGCUUUAGACUCCCCAGCACAACUCUACCUCAGUGAGACCACAGAUUUUUCCCAUGACUUGAAAGGGAGACAUAACCAUCGUCAAUCCUGGGCACACAUUUUUAACUUUAUAAUGUCAGACUGCAGUAAAAUGUUACCUAUCAGUUGGUUCACUGUUACAGGUUCCUAAUCGCUCUGACUUGGGAUGUGGGGAAGGAAGCCUUGAAAAAUAAAAGCUUUCACCUGUGGAAAAAAUGAAGGCUUGAAAAUCUGGCUGUGACCAUGAAUGGAUGAAGAGUUCUGGUAUUUUCUUAGUGCAAGGCAUUGGCCAUGGGCCAGCAGGAGAAAGUACUGUGAGCCCUUUGGAAACCUGUUUUGAGGAGGCUACUUUUUCUUAGGAAACACUGAGGAAGGAAAUCUGUUGGAUUAAAGAAACCUUUUCUAGAAGUCUCAGGAGACCUCUCCUUACAUGGCUCUGACGAUGGCUGUCAGCCCUGCACUGAUCAUUACAAAUGAGGUGGGGUCCCCACACCUCCCGGAGAGAAGCCAACCCUCCUGAGAAACUUCUGUUCACAGCAGAUCGUACAACCAACUGUGGUUCUACUGGGAAAACUCAUGGAUGAGCCUUUUGAGACCUCUGCAGUAGAUUCCGAUCUCCUGCUCGGUGCUACAGUGCAAGGCUGAGAAAAAAAACAAAAGACAGAACUAAAGAGACAGAGAAACUGAGAAGAUGACCCAUGCUGCUCAUCCAGCAAAGGAACCUGUCAGUCCAAGCCACUGACUUUUGUCGGCAAUCAAAUGGAGUAAAGGUAAAUUAUGUGCAAAGGGGGAACUAUGUACAAGGAUGAACAAUUGUGCAAUUACUAUGGAUACCAAUGCAAACAAGGCUUGUAAAGAACAUGACAAAGCACUCUCAG